AUUGAACGCUGGCGGCAGGCCUAACACAUGCAAGUCGAGCGAGCGGCGGACGGGUGAGUACUGUAUGGGGACUGCCCGCUCGAGGGGGAUAACUACUGGAAACGGUAGCUAAUACCGCAUACUAUCGGAUAACCCAUAUGGGAUUAGCUAGUAGGUGAGGUAAUGGCUCACCUAGGCGACGAUCCCUAGCUGGUCUGAGAGGAAGAUCAGCCACACUGGGACUGAGACACGGCCCAGACUCCUACGGAGGCAGCAGGGGGGAAUAUUGCAAAAGGGGCGCAAGCCUGAUGAAGCCAUGCCGCGUGGAUGAAGAAGGCCCUAGGGUUGUAAAGUACUUUCAGUCGGGAGGCGUUACCGACAGAAGAAGCACCGGCUAACUCCGUGCCAGCAGCCGCGGUAAUUC
rnacentral:rRNA from 1 species